UACGUAGGGGGCAAGCGUUGUCCGGAUCAUUGGGUCGUAAAGAGCGUGUAGGCGGCUCGAUAAGUCUGCUGUGAAAGUCAGGGCUCAACCCUGGAAGGCCGGUGGAAACUGUCGGGCUAGAGUCCGGAAGAGGCGAGUGGAAUUCCCGGUGUGAGCGGUGAAAUGCGCAGAGUAUCGGGAAGGAACACCAAUGGCGAAGGCAGCUCGCUGGGACGGUACUGGACGCUGAGACGCGAAAGCGUGGGAGCAACAGG
rnacentral:rRNA from 1 species